GUGGUCGUAGCUCAGCUGGUAGAGCACUCGGUUGUGGUCCGAGAGGUCGCGGGUUCAAAACCCGUCGAUCACCCCA
rnacentral:tRNA from 1 species